CCGUUCUCAGUUCGGAUCGGAGUCUGCAACCCGACUCCGUGAAGCUGGAUUCGCUAGUAAUCGCGCAUCAGCCACGGCGCGGUGAAUACGUUCCCGGGCCUUGUACACACCGCCCGUCAAGCCAUGGAAGCCGGGAGUGCCUGAAGUACGCGACCGCAAGGAGCGUCCUAAGGUAAAACCGGUGACUGGGGCUAAGUCGUAACAAGGUAUC
rnacentral:rRNA from 1 species